rnacentral:lncRNA from 1 species
CCAGCUAACACCACCUGCCAAGCGAACCUUUUUUUAAAAAUGUUUAACUAUUUACAUAAACAGUGGAAGAAAAAUUAAGUGCAGGCUAGAAGUAUUAUUAAUAGUUAAAGACAAAAUAAUUAUCACCCAAUACAUUAGUCAAUUUACAGAAAAACCAACAGUCACUCAAACAAUAAAACUCUAGCCCAAAUCCCACACUAAGACCAUGGAGCAUCUAACAGAGUAAUAUGAGUUCAACUGACGGGUAUGAAAACCUAAAAAAAUUAACUAACAUGAACUGGAUAAAGCUAAAACGAAAGCCUCCACGAACAAUGCGGUGGCUCAACUCAGCACUAGGAUCUACUCGAGCAAACUCGUCAGCCACUAGCUCUAUCUCCCACAACGGUAUCUGCAUAGAGAUGCAAGUAAGGAGUGAGUUAUACAUAAAUAUAACUCAGUAAGAUCCUGAACCCGCCACCUUAAAUAUCUCUGAAACAAAUGUUAGAAAAUACAAAUACACCACAAUAAGAAUGAUAUAAUAAACACGAUAAUUAUACAAUAACUCAAUAUAUGUAUCAACAGAGUUAAUAAGAAUUAACCAACAAGAGUACACACUAAGGACUUGUCAUAAUUGCGGUGAAAGAAAUUAACAGAUAUUUUUACGAGUUCAUAACGACACCAUAAUGCCUCAAAUAUGUAAUGGAGCAUACACAAAGCUCGCUAAAGCAUACACAAUACCCCAAAUAUAUCCAGAAGCAUACACAAUGCUCGGGUAAUGUACAAAGGCAUACAAUAUGCUCCAACAUCAAGGCUCAGAACCGUAUCAAACUCAACAAUAAGGCUCACAGCCAUAUCAAACUAUCAAACUCAACAUCAUGACUCACAACCGUAUCAAACUCAACAUCAUGACUCACAACCGUAUCAAACUCAAUAACAUAGCUCACAGCCGUAUCAAACUAUCAAACUCAAUAUCAUGGGUCACAGCCGUAUCAAAGCAUCAAACUCAACAUCACGGCUCACAGCCAUAUCACGCCAUCAAACAACUUAAAAAAAUAAUUUUUCUACAUUAUUUAUAAAAUAAUAUAUUUGCGACUAGUCUAAGACCAUCAAUUCUGUCAAACGCAUGUUUGUCCCAACACAUGCAUCAGGCAGAGAAAAACACAUUUUUCAAAAUGAAUUUUAGAAAAACAAGUAUUAAAACUUAAUUUUCACUUACCUCGAUAAUGGAGGGUUUCUUAACUUGGCAACGGCUAGAACACCCACCAAACAACCUCAGAUAGCCUCAAUCUUGACUAAAAUUAAUGGUGGUCGCGAUUCGUGGCAUCGUCGUAAGAACAAUAUCCAUAUGCGUCGAUUUUCCCAACAAAUUUUGCCUAUUAUCAUCGCUUGGCUUCACAAGUUUUAUAUGCUAAUGAUGAUUAUAAGUUCUUCUCUUAAGCAGAGUAGAUAAACCAUAACAAUAUAUCCUCCUCCAUCCUUAGGAUGCUGCCGUCAAAGAACCCCAAAGCUACCUCCCUUCGUUGAUCUCCAACCGCAUUUCAAAAGGCCAAGUGCUUAGUCCUAG